AUUGAACGCUGGCGGCAGGCCUAACACAUGCAAGUCGAACGAGUGGCGGACGGGUGAGUAAUGUCUGGGAAACUGCCCGAUGGAGGGGGAUAACUACUGGAAACGGUAGCUAAUACCGCCUACCAUCGGAUGUGCCCAGAUGGGCUGAGCUAGUAGGUGGGGUAAAGGCUCACCUAGGCGACGAGCCCUAGCUGGUCUGAGAGGAGGACCGGCCACACUGGAACGGCGACACGGUCCAGACUCUUACGGGAGGCAGAAGUGGGGAAUAUUGCGCAAUGGGCGCAAGCCUGAUGCAGCCAUGCCGCGUGGAUGAAGAAGGCUGUCGGGUUGUAAAGUACUUUCAUCGAGGAGGCGUUACUCACAGAAGAAGCACCGGCUAACUCCGUGCCAGCAGCCGCGGUAAUAC
rnacentral:rRNA from 1 species